UACGGAGGGUGCAAGCGUUAUCCGGAUUCACUGGGUUUAAAGGGUGCGUAGGUGGGUUGGUAAGUCAGUGGUGAAAUCUCCAGGCUUAACUUGGAAACUGCCAUUGAUACUAUCAAUCUUGAAUACCGUGGAGGUCAGCGGAAUAUGUCAUGUAGCGGUGAAAUGCUUAGAGAUGACAUAGAACACCAAAUUGCGAAGGCAGCUGGCUACGCGGAUAUUGACACUGAUGCACGAAAGCGUGGGGAUCAAACAGG
rnacentral:rRNA from 1 species